rnacentral:rRNA from 1 species
UGGUCCUACGGGGCGCAGCAGUGGGGAAUAUUGGGCAAUGGGCGCAAGCCUGACCCAGCAACGCCGCGUGAAGGAAGAAGGCUUUCGGGUUGUAAACUUCUUUUAAGAGGGAAGAGCAGAAGACGGUACCUCUUGAAUAAGCCACGGCUAACUACGUGCCAGCAGCCGCGGUAAUACGUAGGUGGCAAGCGUUGUCCGGAUUUACUGGGUGUAAAGGGAGCGCAGGCGGGAAGCCAAGUCAGCUGUGAA